rnacentral:tRNA from 1 species
UGGGCUAGUAGCUUAGGCGAAAGCAGUGGGUGGCGCCAAACCAUCCAUCUACGCGGGUUCGACACCCGCCUAGCCCAAC